UUAUUUGAUAGGGUGCCCGUACCGUAAACCGACACAGGUGGAAUAGAUGAGUAUUCUAAGGCGCGUGGGUUAAAUCUCUCUAAGGAACUCGGCAAACUGACCCCGUAUGUUAGCUAUAAGGGGUGCCUCGCAAGAGGCCACAGAUAAGAGUGUCAACCGACUGUUUAGCAAAAACACAGCUCUCUGCUAAGUCGCAAGACGACGUAUAGGGAGUGACAUGUGACCAAUGCGGAAAGGUGAAAGCCUGGGGUGCAAGCUCCGGGUCUAGGCCCCCGUGAAUGUCGGCCGUAACUAUAACGGUCCUAAGGUAGCGAAAUUCCUUGUCGGGUAAGUUCCGACCCGCACGAAUCAUGUAACGAGUUGACAACUGUCUCGGAGAGAGGCCCAGUGAAAUUGUAGUGGCGGUGAAGAUGCCGCCUACCCGCAGCAGGACGGAAAGACCCUAUGCACCUUUACUGUAAGCUGUUAUUGUCGCUUGAUUUUUAAUACGUAGCAUAGCUGGGAGACUGCGAAGCCGCCUUCAGGGGCGGGCCGAGUCGAAACAUGAAAUACCAGUUUUUAAUUGUUAGGCGUCUAUCCUCGACCCAUUAUCUGGGCGUGGGACAGUGAUAGCAGGUCAGUUUUUCUGGGGCGGAAUCCUCCCAAAGAGUAACGGAGGAUUACGAAGGUUCCCUCAGCCCGGUCGGUAAUCGGGCUAUAGAGCGCAUGAGUAUAAGGGAGCUUUACUGUGAGACCAACAAGUCGAGCAGUUGCGAAAGCAGGUUCAAGUGAUCCGGUGGUUGAAUGUGGAAUCGCCAUCGCUCAUAGGACAAAAGGUACGCUAGGGAUAACAGGCUGAUCGCGCCCAAGCGUUCACAGCGACGGCGCGGUUUGGCACCUCGAUGUCGGCUCAUCACAUCCUGGGGCUGGAGAAGGUCCCAAGGGUCCGGCUGUUCGCCGGUUAAAGUGGUACGCGAGCUGGGUUCAGAACGUCGUGAGACAGUUCGGUCCUCUAUCCGCUGUGGGCGUUUGUGAUUUGAGGGGUUCAUUCUCUAGUACGAGAGGACCGAGAAUGACGCGCCGCUGGUGUUCCGGUUGUCACGUCAGUGGCAGCGCCGGGUAGCUAUGUGCGGAAGAGAUAAGCGCUGAAAGCAUCUAAGCGCCAAGCUCCUCCCAAGAUAAGAUCACAAUCCGUCGCAAGACGGUGCAAGGUCCGGGUAGACCACCCGGUUGAUAGGACAGAAGUGCAAACGUAGUAAUACGUUCAGCUUACUGUUACUAAUGACCUC
rnacentral:rRNA from 1 species